rfam:Myotis brandtii contig248005, whole genome shotgun sequence.
GGCCUCCCUCUGUGGGGCGAUCAAUCUGGGGGCCCCGCCAUUGAUCGCCCCACAGAGGGAGGCC